rnacentral:rRNA from 1 species
UACCGGCGGCUCGAGUGGUGACCAUUUUUAUUGGGCUUAAAGCGUUCGUAGCUGGAUUGUUAAGUCUCUUGGGAAAUCUAACGGCUCAACCGUUAGGCGUCUAAGGGAUACUGGCAAUCUAGGGACCGGAAGAGGUGAGAGGUACUCCUGGGGUAGGAGUGGAAUCCUGUAAUCCUAGGGGGACCACCUGUGGCGAAGGCGUCUCACCAGGACGGCUCCGACAGUGAGGGACGAAAGCUGGGGGAGCAAACCGGAUUAGAUACCCGGGUAGUCCCAGCUGUAAACGAUGCAUGCUAGGUGUUGGGUUGGCCACGAGCCACCCCAGUGCCGCAGGGAAGCCGUUAAGCAUGCCGCCUGGGAAGUACGAUCGCAAGAUUGAAACUUAAAGGAAUUGGCGGGGAGCACCACCAGGCGUGAAGCCUGCGGUUU